GUUCGCCGGAAAGAUUCAUCAAUCAAAUCGACUGGAAUCAACCAGCCGCCGCAGCUCCGGCCACCGCCAUUCAUUCUUCUUCAGGUUUCUUCUUCGUCGACUUUUCCUUUACACCACUAGAUCUGAGUGACGUAGAUUAGGUCCGUCGCGGAGCUUGGUUGCGUGCAGUCGCUGCUUCCUUUAUACUCGGCGGUUUCAUCAGCGCGCCUCACUUCUUGCCUCGGAAUCGAUUCGACGAGUUCGAGAUCUUUGUCUCAGGGUUUCUGCAAAUGAGGUUCAAUUGUUAAAUUCUGUGAAUUCAAAGCUACCAUUCUUAGUUACUACAGCAGAUGAUGCAAAAGAUUCUCUUAAAGAGGAAAUCCGUUUGAGGAUGCUAUUGAGAAGCUAUUGAUAUGAGAAAUUGCUAUCGGUAUGACGGGCUUCUUGCGUUUGCUGAGUGCUCCUUGAGGCUUUGACUGGACGAGUUGUGUUCAACUAGGAAAGGCUCUUUAUUGUAAAAUUUUAAGGAUAUAAUAUUUUUGAAGUUGUAUUGUAAAAUUUUAAAUAUAUAAUUUUUUUUUAUGUAGUUCUAAUUUUCAUAAUAUGAAUUUUAGUUAUUUAGUUUUACAUUGGUUGAAAAUGAGUUGUAAAGCAUUUUUA